rnacentral:rRNA from 1 species
AAAUUGAAGAGUUUGAUCAUGGCUCAGAUUGAACGCUGGCGGCAGGCCUAACACAUGCAAGUCGAGCGGAAACGACACUAACAAUCCUUCGGGUGCGUUAAUGGGCGUCGAGCGGCGGACGGGUGAGUAAUGCCUAGGAAAUUGCCUUGAUGUGGGGGAUAACCAUUGGAAACGAUGGCUAAUACCGCAUAAUGCCUACGGGCCAAAGAGGGGGACCUUCGGGCCUCUCGCGUCAAGAUAUGCCUAGGUGGG